UACGGAGGGGGGCUAGCGUUGUUCGGAAUUACUGGGGCGUAAAAGCGCGCGUAGGCGGACCUGCAAGUCGGGGGUGAAAGCCCGAGGCUCAACCUCGGAACUGCCUUCGAUACUGCGGGUCUCGAGUCCGGGAGAGGUGAGUGGAAUUCCUAGUGUAGAGGUGAAAUUCGUAGAUAUUAGGAAGAACACCGGUGGCGAAGGCGGCUAUCUGGACGACAACUGACGCUGAGGCGGCGAAAGC
rnacentral:rRNA from 1 species